rnacentral:rRNA from 1 species
UAAGGAAUAUUGCUCAAUGGGAGAAAUCCUGAAGCAGCAACGCCGCGUGGAGGAUGAAGGGUCUAUGACUUGUAAACUCCUGUAAAGAAGGAAAAAAUUCCCAUUUGAUGGGAGAUGAUGGUACUUCUGGAGUAAGCCCCGGCUAACUACGCGCCAGCAGCCGCGGUAAUACGUAGGGGGCAAGCGUUGUCCGGAUUUACUGGGUGUAAAGGGUGCUCAGGCGGAUUUGUAAGUCAGAGGUGAAAUCUUACAGCUUAACUGUGAAACUGCCUUUGGUACUGCAAGCCUAGAGUAUGGAAGAGAGUGAUGGAAUAUCUGGUGUAGCAGUGAAAUGCGCAGAUAUCAGAUAGAACACCAAUGGCGAAGGCAGUCACUUGGUCCAUUACUGACGCUAAAGCACGAAAGCGUGGGUAGCAAACA